CGGAGGGUGCAAGCGUUAUCCGGAUUCACGUGGGUUUAAAGGGUGCGUAGGUGGCUAUAUAAGUCAGUGGUGAAAGCCCGCGGCUCAACCGUGGAAUUGCCAUUGAAACUGCAUAGCUUGAGUACAAUUGAAGUGGGCGAAUACAUCAUGUAGCGGUGAAAUGCUUAGAUAUGAUGUAGAACACCGAUUGCGAAGGCAGCUCACUAAGUUGUAACUGACACUGAGGCACGAAAGCGUGGGUAGCGAACAGGAUU
rnacentral:rRNA from 1 species